AGAGUUUGAUCCUGGCUCAGAUUGAACGCUGGCGGCAUGCCUAACACAUGCAAGUCGAACGGCAGCACAGCAGAGCUUGCUCUGUGGGUGGCGAGUGGCGGACGGGUGAGUAAUGCAUCGGGACCUACCUCAACGUGGGGGAUAACGUAGGGAAACUUACGCUAAUACCGCAUACGUCCUACGGGAGAAAGCAGGGGACCUUCGGGCCUUGCGCGGUGAGACGGACCGAUGUUCGAUUAGCUAGUUGGUGAGGUAAUGGCUCACCAAGGCGACGAUCGAUAGCUGGUCUGAGAGGAUGAUCAGCCACACUGGAACUGAGACACGGUCCAGACUCCUACGGGAGGCAGCAGUGGGGAAUAUUGGACAAUGGGCGCAAGCCUGAUCCAGCAAUGCCGCGUGUGUGAAGAAGGCCUUCGGGUUGUAAAGCACUUUUAUCGGGAGCGAAAUACCAUUGGCUAAUAACCAGUGGGGCUGACGGUACUCGAGGAAUAAGCACCGGCUAACUUCGUGCCAGCAGCCGCGGUAAUACGAAGGGUGCAAGCGUUAAUCGGAAUUACUGGGCGUAAAGGGUGCGUAGGCGGUUUGUUAAGUCUGUCGUGAAAUCCCCGGGCUCAACCUGGGAAUGGCGAUGGAUACUGGCAAGCUAGAGUGUGUCAGAGGAUGGUGGAAUUUCCGGUGUAGCGGUGAAAUGCGUAGAGAUCGGAAGGAACAUCAGUGGCGAAGGCGGCCAUCUGGGACAACACUGACGCUGAAGCACGAAAGCGUGGGGAGCAAACAGGAUUAGAUACCCUGGUAGUCC
rnacentral:rRNA from 1 species